rnacentral:rRNA from 1 species
ACUCCUACGGGAGGCAGCAGUGAGGAAUAUUGGUCAAUGGGCGAGAGCCUGAACCAGCCAAGUCGCGUGAAGGAAGAAGGUUCUAUGGAUUGUAAACUUCUUUUGUAAGGGAAUAAAACACACCACGUGUGGUGUCUUGUAUGUACUUUACGAAUAAGGAUCGGCUAACUCCGUGCCAGCAGCCGCGGUAAUACGGAGGAUCCGAGCGUUAUCCGGAUUUAUUGGGUUUAAAGGGUGCGUAGGCGGACCCGUAAGUCAGUGGUGAAAGUUUGCAGCUCAACUGUAAAAUUGCCAUUGAAACUACGGAUCUUGAGUGUAAAUGAGGUAGGCGGAAUGUGUUGUGUAGCGGUGAAAUGCUUAGAUAUAACACAGAACACCAAUUGCGAAGGCAGCUUACUGGGAUACAACUGACGCUGAGGCACGAAAGCGUGGGGAUCAAACAGGAUUAGAUACCCUGGUAGUCCACGCAGUAAACGAUGAAUACUAGCUGUAUGCGAUAUACUGUAUGUGGCAAAGCGAAAGCGUUAAGUAUUCCACCUGGGGAGUACGUUCGCAAGAAUG